GACGAACGCUGGCGGCGUGCUUAACACAUGCAAGUCGAAGAUAGUGGCGAACGGGUGAGUAAUGUAUCGGAACGUGCCCAGUAGCGGGGGAUAACUACGCGAAAGCGUAGCUAAUACCGCAUACUAUUGGAGCGGCCGAUAUCGGAUUAGCUAGUUGGUGGGGUAACGGCUCACCAAGGCGACGAUCCGUAGCUGGUUUGAGAGGACGACCAGCCACACUGGGACUGAGACACGGCCCAGACUCCGACGUGAGGCAGCAGUGGGGAAUUUUGGACAAUGGGGGAAACCCUGAUCCAGCCAUCCCGCGUGUGCGAUGAAGGCCUUCGGGUUGUAAAGCACUUUUGGCAGGAAAGCGGUACCUGCAGAAUAAGCAACGGCUAACUACGUGCCAGCGGCCGCGGUAAUAC
rnacentral:rRNA from 1 species